rfam:Lysinibacillus sp. BF-4 contig00034, whole genome shotgun sequence.
GUAUGUACGAAGAUAGGAAGUAGUAGCAAAUUUCGUUUUUUUAAGAGAGUUAGCGGUUGGUGUGAGCUAAUAAAAACAGUUGCGAAUCCGUCCUGGAGUUGCUCGGUUGAAUAAAGUAAGCCGUAGCCGGUUGAGAAGCCGUUACUAAUACGAGUGAGCCAGCAAUUAUUGCUGGUUAAUUAGGGUGGCAACGCGGGUAGCUCUCGUCCCUUCU